CCUACGGGUGGCAGCAGUGGGGAAUAUUGCACAAUGGGGGAAACCCUGAUGCAGCGACGCCGCGUGAGUGAAGAAGUAUUUCGGUACGUAAAGCUCUAUCAGCAGGGAAGAAAAUGACGGUACCUGACUAAGAAGCCCCGGCUAACUACGUGCCAGCAGCCGCGGUAAUACGUAGGGGGCAAGCGUUAUCCGGAUUUACUGGGUGUAAAGGGAGCGUAGACGGCAGCACAAGUCUGGAGUGAAAUCCCAUGGCUUAACCAUGGAACUGCUUUGGAAACUGUGCAGCUAGAGUGCAGGAGAGGUAAGCGGAAUUCCUAGUGUAGCGGUGAAAUGCGUAGAUAUUAGGAGGAACACCAGUGGCGAAGGCGGCUUACUGGACUGUAACUGACGUUGAGGCUCGAAAGCGUGGGGAGCAAACAGGAUUAGAUACCCCAGUAGUC
rnacentral:rRNA from 1 species